rnacentral:sRNA from 1 species
UGCUCAACAGCUUCAAAGCCGUCACAUA